rnacentral:rRNA from 1 species
GUCCGGGCACUUGGUGCUUGGGUGGCGCAGCUAACGCAUUAAGUCUUCCGCCUGGGGAGUACGGCCGCAAGGUUAAAACUCAAAGAAAUUGACGGGGGCCUGCACAAGCGGUGGAGCAUGUGGUUUAAUUCGAAGCAACGCGCAGAACCUUACCAACGUUUGACAUGUCUAGUGUGGUUUUCAGAGAUGAAUUCCUUCAGUUCGGCUGGCUAGAACACAGGUGCUGCAUGGCUGUCGCCAGCUCGUGUCGUGAGAUGUUGGGUUAAGUCCCGCAACGAGCGCAACCCUCGUCUCUAGUUGCCAUCAUUUAGUUGGGCACUCUAGAGAAACCGCCGGUGAUAAGCCGGAGGAAGGUGGGGAUGACGUCAAGUCCUCAUGGCCCUUACGCG